UGGCUCAGAACGAACGCUGGCGGCAGGCCUAACACAUGCAAGUCGAGCGCCGUAGUAAUACGGAGCGGCAGACGGGAGAGUAACACGUGGGAACGUGCCCUUUGGUUCGGAACAACCCAGGGAAACUUGGGCUAAUACCGGAUAAGCCCUUACGGGGAAAGAUUUAUCGCCGAAGGAUCGGCCCGCGUCUGAUUAGCUAGUUGGUGGGGUAAUGGCCCACCAAGGCGAGGGUCAGUAGCUGGUCUGAGAGGAUGAUCAGCCUCACUGGGACUGAGACUCGGCCCAGACGACUACGGGAGGCAGC
rnacentral:rRNA from 2 species